AUGGCGCACUACAAUCAUCAUCGAUAGUCAAUACAAUACGAUCGUAAACAUUAUCGAAUAGUUUAUUUGCGGUAUACGACAUAUAUAGAACUACGGCAGGUGGUAUUAAAAACAUUACUACAAUAGUGCACGAUGUUGCUAUACAUUAUAACAGGUAGUGUGUUUUCACUCGCAAUCUGCCGGCGCGCGAGUUAUCCCUCUCUCGAACACGGCACGACGAACGGAUACCGAGUAUAAUAUAUACAGGCGGUGAUUCAAAAGAAUAUACCACAUCUUCGAAAAUCGAUAUCUCCGCACGGAAGAAACGGAGUGCUGAUGAGCGCCAUUUGUCGUCGUUUAGGCGACUUUCUAAAGUGUCCACUCCGUUGGCAUCUGUCUGUUCACAAUAUGUAAACGAUGGAUCGGCAGCUAAGCGGCUUACCCCAACCCCCGCGGUUUUUUAACCUAUGGUGGUGUAUGUUAAAAAUACGAUUUUUCGACCAUCGCGGUUAUUACAGCGUCGUCGAGAUACCGCGGAGAACGUGGAACGAAUUUGAUGACUAUCGUCGGGUUGUUGAUGUCACACCACGUGUGUCUCAGGUGAGGAUUACACGAACGACUAUGAACACGUCUUGUUAUAUAAUGAAAAAAACAACUUUAUUUUGUACUGCUUAUAUUUUGCCCAAAGUCCCGCCGCGUUUCUUUUAAUAAAUACAGAUUUUCAAAUA